UUUGUAUUGAUAAUUGUGUUGUAGAUUCAAGAAAUGGAUGGUGCUAUAAGAUGAAUGCAAUUUCUAUGAACCAUUUCGAUUUUCCAGUAUUUUUUUAAUAGAAUAUAUGUGCUGAUUUUGUCAUCCAUCACCCCUAUGUUGCAGAGCUUAUCAGGUUCAGCCAGUUCAGACAGCAUAUAACUCCACAUCCUCUGAUAAUGAUUAUCAGAUUAAGGGCUUUGAUUUUUACUAGUUUGUCGAUGCAUAGUGUGAUACAAAGAGACUAUGUGGGUGAUGAUUAUGAAUGUUGAAGAGACUGAAUUCGAAUUGAUCAUUAGGUUUUUUGAAACAAGAGUGUUUUGUUUGAUUGAUGAACUAUUUCUCUAAUGUCAUUGUAAUAUGUAGCAGUUAUGUUGCCUGGGUGAGAGGUUUGCGAAGAGUUAAUGUUGGUUUGAUUUUUCAUUUGAGUUUCUAUUCAUCAAAGAGUUCUAUUAUGUUCAUUUAGAAUUUUGUUCUGUUCAUUGUAAAAUAUAAAUAUUUGAGGUUUGCGAAGAGUUUAUGUUGGUUUAUUUUUUUCUUACUAACAUAAAGCAUUUUGAAAUGUAAAAUAUUCAACAUAAAAAUUUUCGAACAAGCUUAAAACAAUUAUGAACAUCUGAAUAAAAUUUUGAUUUUUUCUUACUAACAUAAAAUAUUUGACAUAAAGCAUUUCGAACAAGCGUAAAAAAUUUACGAACACCUAAAUAAAAUAUUUGAAUAUUUCUUACUAACAUAAAAUAUUGGACGUAAUAUUUGACAUAAAGAAAUUUCGAACAAGCGUAAAAAAAUUACGAACACCUACAUAAAAUAUUUGAAUUUUUCUUACUAACAUAAAUAUUUGACAGAAGCAUUUCGAACAAGUGUAAAAAAAAAAUUACGAACACCUAAACAAAAUAUCCGAAUUUUUCUUACUGACAAUUCCUAACAAUAACAUAAGAAUUAUAUUCAUGAACAUCUGAAUAAAAUUUCGAUUUUUUCUUACUAACAUAAAAUAUUUGACAUAAAGCAUUUCGAAUAAGCGUAAAAAAUUUACGAACACCUAAAUAAAAUAUUUGAAUAUUUCUUACUAACAUAAAAUAUUGGACGUAAUAUUCGACAUAAAGAAAUUUCAAACAAACGUAAAAAAAUUACGAACACCUACAUAAAAUAUUUGAAUUUUUCUUAUUAACAUAAAUAUUUGACAUAAGCAUUUUGAACAAGACGUAAAAAAUUUACGAACACCUAAACUUAUUGAAUUACAUAUAUAGCCUUUCGGCUAUAAUUAAGGAAAAGAAACAGAAAAAAAAAAAUCGGCCAUUGGAUUGAUAAUUUUGGAGGCUCCAGAUUAAUUCUUCUUUCUCUACAUAUUUGUCAUUAUCUGUUUAACCUUUCUCUCUCUAUAUAUAUAUAAAUAGUUAACUAAUGAAAAUAGGUUGAUUACAUAUAUAGACAUACGUGCCUACCUUAUAUAUAUCGCAAAUUAUUGGGUGCGACCGUCGCACAGCUGUGCGACGGGUCGACCCGGCUCCAAACCUGCCCUCCUGACCCGGAACCCUGACCCGCGUGGGUUUGACCCAUACUCCUAAUUAUUACAUUUGUUUAUAAUAAUUGUUACCUUUAAUAAACAUAAUAUAUACAUUUGUUCAUAUAAAUGUAUAUUGAUAUGUAUAAUGUUUUAUAUUGAAUGAAGGUAAAUAUUUAUAUUAAUAUAAGUAUACAUUUGUGCGACCAAAUGUAUAUCUUAUACUUAUUAAAAGUAAAUACUCCUAUUAGGGUUUAGUNUGCGAUCGGCGAUGAUACUCUGCGCGGCGGGUUUCCAAGUUUUUCGACAAAAAUUAGUUUCCAUUUACAGAUUUUCGACCAUCUCUUCUAUUUUCGAUUGUUCAUUGAAUCAUUUUUUUUUCCGAUUAUUUCGUAGUUCUUGGUCGACAAUUUGGAAUAGAGGUUUUCUGCUUGAAGAUACAGCGUGGCUGAAAUCAAACAGGUAAGUCGUUUUGUUUUUUAUUUUUGUUCGAAUUUUUUGUUGACUUUUAGGGGUUUUAAAUCGAACAAGAUUUAAGAUUUUCGAUAAUUAAUGGUUUCCAAAAUCAAAAUCAAAAUUUUUAAUUGGGUUUUAAAUGUAUCAAACGAAAUCAAAAAGUGAUAGUGUUUAUGUGAUUCUAUAUUCGGGUUUUCAAUUAUUUUAGAUUAAUAGUUUUCAACUGUCUGGAUUUUCAAUUUUUGUUGCAGUUUGUUUGAUUAGGGUUUAUGUAAUAGGAUUUUCGGAUGGCUUCUGGAAAGGGGAAAUAGAAAGCUCGGAUGGUAUGAGUGUGUGUUCGAAAUAUUUUGAUUUUUGUUCGUAAUUUUAAGAUUCAAAGUUCAAUGUUUCUAAUAUAUGUUUCAAGCAGUGGAUAUUCGGAUUGUUUUGGUCCAGUUUUGUGAUUCUAUAUUUGGGGACUGAUUUUUCUAUAACAAUUUAUCUCACUUUAUCUCCAUUAAAUUCUCCAACAUGUAAAUUGCGGCAUUUUCUACUGAUUUCAUGGUUGUUGGGGCACCUUCUUUUUGCCCCCUUAAUUUUAAUUAUUACGAAAGAUCGUGGUUUGCUGAGAAAUCACUCUUUGUAUUGAUAAUUGUGUUGUAGAUUCAAGAAAUGGAUGGUGCUAUAAGAUGAAUGCAAUUUCUAUGAACCAUUUCGAAUUUUCAGUUUUUUUAAUAGAAUAUAUGUGCUGAUUUUGUCAUCCAUCACCCCUGUGCUGCAGAGCUUAUCAGGUUCAGCCAGUUCAGACAACAUAUAACUCCACAUCCUCUGAUAAUGAUUAUCAGAUUAAGGGCUUUGAUUUUUACUAGUUUGUCGAUGCAUAGUGUGAUACAAAGAGACUAUGUGGGUGAUGAUUAUGAAUGUUGAAGAGACUGAAUUCGAACUGAUCAUUAGGUUUUUUGAAACAAGAGUGUUUUGUUUGAUUGAUGAACUAUUUCUCUAAUGUCAUUGUAAUAUGUAGCAGUUAUGUUGCCUGGGUGAAAGGUUUGCG
rnacentral:lncRNA from 1 species